AGCCACAUGGUGUAAUGGAUAACAUAUCUGAUGCUUUUGUGGAGAUGCUGGUUCGAUUCUGGCUGUGGCAA